GAGGGUAGACUAUCAGUCAGUAUUUGAAUAAGCAGUUUACAUCUAAUGGAUAAAAGGUUCUCAAUCCAGCCAAGUCAUAGCAGAUUUUGGUGACUUCAGAAAAACAAUAAAAGCAAAAGGUGAGACUCAAAGUUGAGAAGAAGACUAUAAAAAGAUCCAAGGCUUGUGGUAAGAUUUUAAAUUAACCACUAUAAAAAGUUUAACGCAUGAAUCUGUAAAAAGAAACAAAAAAGAGUUCAACUUCAAACCUAUCAUACUCGUUAUGUCAAAGCAAAUUCAAAAUUCUCAAUUCUUCCAUUGACUAGAUAAUAUUUCUAGAAAUAAAUAGCAAUUAGCCAUGCUUAACUCAAUCAUGAAUUUUUUUUUUUACAGCAAUGAAAGGUGAUCAUCUCACAGUUGUUAGGCCUUCUAAAGGCAAUCCAAGUUUAGACCUUCUAUUUAACUAUAAAGACAUAAAACAAAAAUGGAGCUGCUGAAACAUUCAUGAGUGGGAAAGUGCAAAAGGUGACGAGGGGAAAGGUUUAAUUUGGAACAAAUAUAAAAUCUCCACUUUGAGGACUUUUAUUUUCACGUUCAGCCCUAGAUCCUCAUGCAAAUGGACUACCCAUUGAUGUGUUACUGUUUAUAAUGAAUAAACAAAAAUCCCCAUUCUUCUAACUUUUGAGACUCAACUUAGCUGAACAAAAGUUUAAAAAAUGAAUUUUCCUGCUGAAAGGAAUUUGGAAAAUGAUACACGGACAACAAAUGAAGCUCGUUUAAAAGAAAUUAGUAUGCUGAUUAAUAUCGACAAAACAAGUAAUGCCAAUACUAC
rnacentral:lncRNA from 1 species